UACAGAGGUCUCAACCGUUGUUCGGAUUCAUUGGGCGUAAAGGGUGCGUAGGCGGCGCGGUAAGUCGGAUGUGAAAUCUCGGAGCUUAACUUCGAAACUGCAUUCGAUACUGCCGUGCUUGAGGACUGGAGAGGAGACUGGAAUUUACGGUGUAGCGGUGAAAUGCGUAGAUAUCGUAAGGAAGACCAGUGGCGAAGGCGGGUCUCUGGACAGUUCCUGACGCUGAGGCACGAAGGUCAGGGGAGCAAACGGG
rnacentral:rRNA from 1 species